AAAACGACUCUCGACAACGGAUAUCUCGGCUCUCGCAUCGAUGAAGAACGUAGCGAAAUGCGAUACUUGGUGUGAAUUGCAGAAUCCCGUGAACCAUCGAGUCUUUGAACGCAAGUUGCGUCCCAAGCCGUCAGGCCGAGGGCACGUCUGCCUGGGUGUC
rnacentral:rRNA from 1 species